rnacentral:rRNA from 1 species
UGGGGAAUUUUGGACAAUGGGGGAAACCCUGAUCCAGCCAUCCCGCGUGUGCGAUGAAGGCCUUCGGGUUGUAAAGCACUUUUGGCAGGAAAGAAACGUCAUGGGUUAAUACCCCGUGAAACUGACGGUACCUGCAGAAUAAGCAUCGGCUAACUACGUGCCAGCAGCCGCGGUAAUACGUAGGGUGCAAGCGUUAAUCGGAAUUACUGGGCGUAAAGCGUGCGCAGGCGGUUCGGAAAGAAAGAUGUGAAAUCCCAGAGCUCAACUUUGGAACUGCAUUUUUAGCUACCGGGCUAGAGUGUGUCAGAGGGAGGUUGAAUUCCGCGUGUAGCAGUGAAAUGCAUAGAUAUGCGGAGGAACACCGAUGGCGAAGGCAGCCUCCUGGGAUAACACUGACGCUCAUGCACGAAAGCGUGGGGAGCAAACAGG